rnacentral:rRNA from 1 species
UACGUAGGGUGCAAGCGUUGUCCGGAAUUAUUGGGCGUAAAGGGCUCGUAGGCGGUCUGUCACGUCGGGAGUGAAAACUCGGGGCUUAACCCCGAGCCUGCUUCCGAUACGGGCAGACUAGAGGUAUGCAGGGGAGAAUGGAAUUCCUGGUGUAGCGGUGAAAUGCGCAGAUAUCAAGAGGAACACCUGAGGUGAAGACGGGUUGCUGGGCUGACACUGACGCUGAGGCGCGAAAGCCAGGGGAGCAAACGGG